CAACAAUACUGAACGUGUAAGCAGAGAGUGUAAGGUCCGCUUAAGGUUUUUCUCGUUGAUUAAACAAACUUUUUGUGUAUUGUACUGUAAAGUUCUGUUCGCCGACAGAAGUGCAACAAUUUGAUGCAGCGAAACUAUGCCGCUUCCAGAUUUACAAAAGGAGGAUGGGCACCACACGCGAUGAAGGAGGAGCUUGAAAGAACAACGCAGGCCAUCAAGAACGGAUUUUCUUUGACCAAGCAUUGAAAGAGUUGGAAAAUGCUCGAGCAACAGUGAAAAGGUCCAUGGAGAAUUAAAGACGAACCAACCCAGGAGGCUGAAAGUCUCUUAAAUAAAGAAUAAAAAAAAAAUCCAUGGAGAAUUCGAGAUGGUCUCAAUCCAAUUUUUACUGGUCUGGAAUCUGGCCAAGACACCUGGUAUCGAUCCCAGAACACUGUUACUGAUUGUAACAUUAUCCCAAAAUACUUUACAUAAAUAUAAGUUUUUUUUUCGAUGAAACA